rfam:Asian citrus Psyllid, Diaphorina citri - Florida Strain, whole genome shotgun sequence.
GCCUAGUUAGCUUGGUUGGUAGCGCAACUGCCUUGUAAGUGCUAGGGGGCGGGUUCAAUUCCCGCCCGGGGCG